UAUAUCACAAUUUUUAACAUCAUUAUAUAAUAUAUAGAGUUUAAAAUUUUUUUAAUUUUUUCCGUCAUAUUUUAUGAUUCAAAAUUUUAAAAAUGAACAUAUAUUAACCAAUUGGCAAAAAAUGUGUGGGUUCAACGUCCCGCAUCGACAAAAAUAUAUAGACAAUGAUUUAUAAGCAUAUCAUAAAUAAGAUCAACAUUAAUAUAAAUAAAUGGUUUUUUUACGGGACGGGUUUGGCGGGACGGGUUUGGCAGGACGUUACUUAAUAACAAUUGUAAACUAUAAAAUAAAAAUAUAUUAUAGAUAGAUACAAUUUGCAAAAAAAAA
rnacentral:sRNA from 1 species